UACGUAGGCAGCAAGCGUUGUUCGGAAUUACUGGGCGUAAAGGGCGCGUAGGCGGUUGGAUAAGUCAGCUGUGAAAACCACGGGCUUAACUCGUGGCCUGCAGUUGAGACUGUCUGGCUUGAGUGUGGGAGAGGAGAGUGGAAUUCCUGGUGUAGCGGUGAAAUGCGUAGAUAUCAGGAGGAACACCGGUGGCGAAGGCGGCUCUCUGGACCACAACUGACGCUGAGGCGCGAAAGCUAGGGGAGCAAACAGG
rnacentral:rRNA from 1 species